AUCUUUUCUAUCCCUAUACAUAGCUUCUUCCUCAUAAAAGAAAAAUUAUAGGAGCUCAAGAACUUCGACCUCAUGUAUCUAGUCAAUCAACGAAAGGUUGUUCUACAAAUUUUGAUGGUGCUAUAUGUUCUUCUGAGUUAUGACGGAGUUCAAGGAGAAAUAAAAUUAUCCAAAGUAGAGGAUUUAGAGUUGGAGAAGCAACUUAAACUUUUGAACAAGCCAGCAACCAAAAUAAUUAAGACAAAAUAUGGGGAUAUAUACGAUUGUGUUGAUUUCUACAAACAACCUGCGUUUGAUCAUCCAUUAUUAAAGAAUCACGAUUUUCAUCCCAAG